rnacentral:rRNA from 1 species
UACGUAGGUGGCAAGCGUUAUCCGGAUUUACUGGGUGUAAAGGGCGUGUAGGCGGGAAAGCAAGUCAGAUGUGAAAACCAUGGGCUCAACCUGUGGCCUGCAUUUGAAACUGUUUUUCUUGAGUAUUGGAGAGGCAGACGGAAUUCCUAGUGUAGCGGUGAAAUGCGUAGAUAUUAGGAGGAACACCAGUGGCGAAGGCGGUCUGCUGGACAGCAACUGACGCUGAGGCGCGAAAGCGUGGGGAGCAAACAGG